CCAAUGGCCCUUCUAAGGGCCACCAAAAUUUCCAAAGAGCGAGUUU
rfam:Orchesella cincta Ocin01_Sc5093, whole genome shotgun sequence.